CGCGAAACUUCAGAGGAGCAGACGCGACGUGCCUAAAGCUGAGGUGGACAAAAUCGAAAAGGACAUCAGAAUUAAGACCAACGAACUGAACACUGACGUUGACGUGGACUACAGCAUCAAACUGUUUGGAUCAGAAUUACUAUUCGUCAACGUGUAUGAAAACGUUGAUAAAUUCAAACCUGAAGUUCUUAUCGAAAAAUUCUUCGACCAUUUAGAACUUGGCAUUGACAAGACGAAAAACUUCCAGGAGUCCAUCCAAUCCAACGUCCUCUUCUUGGACACCGAACUCAGUUAUCCGACAUCUCUUGGUUUCCCCUUACGUUUGGCUGUUGACGGUGCUUUUUCGGUCUUGUUCAAAGUUGAA